rnacentral:misc_RNA from 1 species
GACCAGCGGGCAACUGAACUUGUCAGAUUAGACCUGUGACUCCGCAGAAACCGGGCUUUCGGGAGACAUGGAAGGGUGAAUUUAGGUGUCUGAUUACUUCUGAAGGGCGGUGAAAAUUUUGUUCUGAAGUUUUAUGGACCCAGAAGAAAAUUCUGUUCAGAACUGUGGGACUAGGUUUGUUACCAGUAAUAUGAAAGGCUCAGAGUUUUGUCUGGAAAAGAAAAAAAAGGUUAAAGUACCAGCGAGGAGACUUCGUGAGAUAGUUUCUCCAAAUCAGGGAGAUAAUUUGGCUUUGCUGAAAGGUGAAUUGUCCCGUGUUCCUCCAGCGUUGUCUGCAAAUAAACGUCUUCCUGUUAGAACUGGGAAGAGCUUGAAUGGAACGUUAUGUGGUUCAUCAGACUUAACUUCUGCCAGAAAUUAUCAGCAGCCUCCAGUAGAAAAUCCUACUGUGUCAGAAAGUGAUUUUUCUAAAGAUGCUGCAGUGCAAGUGUUGCCUUUGAAUAAAAUGGAAGAGAACAGACAAAAAGCAAAUGACAUCUUUAUUUCUCAGUACACUGUGGGACAGAAAGAUGCUCUAAGAGCAGUUUUAAAACAAAAAACUCAAAGCAUGCCUGUUUUUAAAGAGGUGAAGGUACAGCUUUUAGAAGAUGCAGGCACAGAAAAGGACCCUGUUACCCAGGAGAAUAGAAUUUCACCCAGUGGAAUUGAUUCAGCUACAACUGUGGCUGCAGCAACUGCCGCCGCCAUUGCAGCAGCAGCUCCACUGAUAAAAGUGCAGAGUGAGUUGGAAGCAAAGGUUAAUUCUGUUACAGAAUUACUCAAUAAGUUACAGGAGACUGAUAAACAGUUACAGCGUGUUACAGAGCAGCAGACAACCAUGCAGAAUAAACAGGAGACGCUACACUGUCAUGAUCAUGAAAAACAAAUGAAUGUGUUCAUGGAGCAACACAUUCGGCAUCUUGAAAAGCUGCAACAACAGCAAAUCGAUAUUCAGGCUCAUUUCAUCAGUGCUGCACUGAAGACUAGUAGCUUUCAGCCUGUUACUGUACCUCCUUCUAGAGCAGUGGAAAAGUACUCUGUGAAACCAGACCGUUUGAAUUUUGGUAGCAGUAAUCUGUCUUCACAUAAUGUCUUUACUUCCAAACAAGCACCUUCAAGAGAGGUUGAAGAUACAAGUUUUGAUAAACAGAGAUCUCCGUUGGAGACACCAGCACCUCGCAGAUUUGCUCCUGUUCCUGUUUCAAAGGAUGAUAAAAUAUCAAAGAAGGAAAAUCCUAUAGAAGAAAAAGAAAAUAUGGAGCUUUCAUGUCAUGCAGGAAGUGUAGGAUUCUUGGAGCAAAUUCUGAAUAACCAUGAUUCUUUGACAAGAAUAAGUGAAUCUUCAGACAAAACCUCACUAGCUAGGUCAAAAAUGGGAUGGAAUCCUGAGAGGAGAAACAGAUUUCCUUCCUGUGAAGAACUAGGAACAGCUAAAGUGACUGUGCAGAAGUCUGAUGAUAUUCAUGAACUUGAUCAAAAGAGGAAAGAAACGAAUAGCAUACUCCAGUUGAAAGAAUCUCAGAUGUCAGGGCUUGCAGAUCUUCCACAGAAUUCCGUUAAGCUUCAAAUAACAAAUACAAGAUCUGUAUUGAAAGAUGCUGAGAAGAUUUUAAGAGGAGUACAAAAUAAUAAAAAAGUACUUGAAGAAAAUCUGGAAGCUAUAAUUCGUGCAAAGGAUGGAGCUGCCAUGUAUUCAUUUAUCAAUGCUCUAUCUAACAACAGGGAGAUAUCAGAGAAGAUUCGGAUCAAAAAGACUGUAGAUGACUGGAUUAAAACCAUUUCUGCAGAAAUUCAAGGAUUUUUGAAAGCAACCACAGUGGUGCAAGACAAGGAUUAUAUGUUACAAAUCUAUGGAAAACCAGUUUAUCAGGGUCAUCGCAGCACUCUUAAAAAAGGACCAUAUCUCAGAUUUAAUUCUCCAUCUCCUAAGUCCAGACCACAGAGACCAAAAGUAAUAGAACGAGUUAAAGGCACUAAAGUAAAGUCUAUAAGAACACAAACAGAUUUUUCUGCCACGAAACCUACAAAGGUGGAUUCUAAGUUGCAACAUUCUAUUACUACACUGUCUCCUGGUGAUCAGCAGUAUUUGUUCAGCCCAAGCCGGGAAAUGCCUACUUUUUCAGGUACACUGGAAGGUCAUCUGAUUCCUAUGGCAGUACUUUUAGGACAAACCCAAAGUAAUAGUGAUUCCAUGCCACCUGCUGGGGUAAUUGUAAAUAAGCCACACCCUGUAACAGUGACAACUUCAAUUCCACCAUCAUCUCGAAAAAUAGAACCUGGAGUAAAGAAACCUAACAUAGCAGUUGUAGAAAUGAAGUCAGAAAAAAGGGAUCCUCCUCAGCUUUCUGUACAGGUACUACCCAAUGUAGACAUUGACAGCAUCUCUGAUGGUAGUGCUGAGGUCGGUCUGUCUCCUUCUAGUCCCAAAGAAGCAUCUUCUCCUCCUCUGAGAACCUGGAUACAGGCUCCAGAAUUUACGAAGGCAGAUGAAGAAGAGAUGAAGUUUCCAGGAAUGAACUUUGAUGAAGUAAUUGAUAUUGUACAGGAAGAAGAAAAAUGUGAUGAAAUUUCAGAAUACUCUGAACCAAUUCUGGAGUUUAGUAGAAGUGUCAAAGCUGUUUCUACAAAAUAUAAUGGCCCUCCAUUUCCGCCAGUUGCUUCUACUUCUCAGCCCACUACUGAUAUUCUGGAUAAAGUAAUUCACAAAAAAGAAACAUUGGAAAAUAGCUUAAUUCAGUGGGUAGAACAAGAAAUAAUGUCAAGAAUGAUCUCUGGGCUCCUUCCAAUCCAGCAGCAGGCCACAGCUAAUGUCAGUGUCUCAGUCAGUGAGGCCAGUGAGCCAUUGACUUCUGACAUUGUGGAAGGAACAAGCAGUGGUGCGCUCCAGCUUUUUGUCGAUGCUGGGGUUCCUGUGAAUUCAGACAUGAUCAGGCAUAUUGUAAAUGAAGCUCUUGCUGAGACCAUUGCUGUCAUGCUAGGUGACAGAGAAGCAAAGAAGCCAGAUCCUGUUGUUACAGGUGUUUCUGGGGAUGUUUCAACAAGUGAAACACACUUGCCGGCAAGAGUGUGUACCCCUUUGGCUACCCCACAGCCAACUCCUCCUCGUUCGCCUUCAUCACCUCCUAAGGAGCACGUGUUGGUAAAAACUCCAGAUUCUUCUCCCAGUGUUUCAGAUCACGAUGUUGCUUUUCCCAUGAAAGAAAUAUUGGCUGAAGAAGGAGAUGAUGUGCCUGCCAUCACACUUGUUAAUACCCCAGCAGUCACCCCAGUGACUACACCUCCCCCUGCAGCAGCUCUUACCCCAACUUUGUCAGAGACUUCAAUUGAUAAAUUGAAGAUGUCAAGCCCAGAGCUUCCCAAGCCAUGGAGUGAUGGAGACCUGCCACUGGAAGAAGAGAAUCCCAACUCUCUUCAAGAAGAGCUUCACCCAAGAGCCAUUGUAAUGUCUGUGGCCAAGGAUGAAGAACCUGAGAGCGAGGACUUCCCUGCUCAGCUUGCCCCUCCAAAGCCAGUUGCCCUUAUGCCACUUCCUGCUGGCAUCAAGGCUCCUUCCCCCAUACAGAUGCCAAGUUCAGAUUCUUCCACUGUGGAGAGUACCUUGAGUGUUACUGCCACUGAAUCGGAAACCUUAGAUAGACCCAUUUCUGAAGGAGAGAUCUUAUUUAACUGUGGUCUCAAAGUGGCUCCUAAGAUUUUAGGAGAUGAAGGACUGUAUCUGGCAAACCUAAAUGAUAGCUUAUCCAGUACUUUGCAAGAUGCCCUCGAAAUGGAAGAUGAUCCUCCCAGCGAAGGACAAGUGAUUAGGAUGCCCCAUAAAAAAGUUCAUGCCGAUGCAGUUCUUUCUCUUCUUGCUAAACAAAACCCGAAAUCAUUAGUUUCACAGCAAGCCGUAUAUCAUUCAGAGGACUUGGAAAACAGUGUGGGUGAGCUUAGUGAAGGACAGAGGCUGACAGCUGCAGCAGCAGAGAACCUCUUCAGGGAACUUUCCGCAUACGUGCAGCAACCUGUGGCUGAGGCAGAGUCUUCAGAUGCAAAAUGUGCUCCGAAGCCAUCAUCUCAGCAGUGUGACACGGUUGCAGAUGCUGUUUAUGAAGAUUUAUGUGCUAGUCAUGGUCCAAUGAGUUUGGGAGAAUUGGAGUUGCAGCCAGAUCCUCACGUUACUCUUCCCACAACACUUCUGACAGCACAAGAAAGAGAUGUUAAAUUAUCAGAAGCCGCUGAAGGCUUUCCUCAGUACCCACAAAAGCAAGGCCAAGAUGUUAAGCAAGUUGAACACAAGCCAGUUCAAAGUCGUCUAAUACGUGUAAGAAAUAAACCUGAUAUUUCACUUUCACAGCAGCAAGCUUCACCAGGUGAUACGGAUCAGACACAAAUUGAGCCCAGUCUAUACCUCACAUCUUUAUUUACAGGUGGUAAAGCGGUUCCACUCUUCACUUCUCAAACAUCACCUGCCAAGAUGUCUGUGACACUACCCUCAGUGAACCUGGAAGACUGCUCACAGUCUCUGAGCGUGGGCACUGUCCAGGGGGACGCGGACUCCUCAGGAGCAGAUACCUUCUGAGUGCGAAGUGAGAGCCAGUACAAUACUUGUCUGCUGGUUUUGAGGUCAUUUUCCUUGGGCGUAAAGCCAUCUCUCAGGCUCUUUUGGUCCUUCAACAUAUUCAGAAAAACAAUUUUAAAUUUUGUAUUGAAGUGGAAAGCGUAAUUUGGCUAUUUGGGUAACAUUUUUAAAUAAAAGAAUUUAAAUGGA